rnacentral:rRNA from 1 species
CCUACGGGUGGCAGCAGUGGGGAAUAUUGGACAAUGGGGGGAACCCUGAUCCAGCCAUGCCGCGUGUGUGAAGAAGGCCCUCGGGUUGUAAAGCACUUUCAGUGAGGAAGAACGCCUGGUGGUUAAUACCCAUCAGGAAAGACAUCACUCACAGAAGAAGCACCGGCUAACUCCGUGCCAGCAGCCGCGGUAAUACGGAGGGUGCGAGCGUUAAUCGGAAUUACUGGGCGUAAAGCGCGCGUAGGUGGCUUGAUAAGCCGGUUGUGAAAGCCCCGGGCUCAACCUGGGAACGGCAUCCGGAACUGUCAAGCUAGAGUGCAGGAGAGGAAGGUAGAAUUCCCGGUGUAGCGGUGAAAUGCGUAGAGCUCGGGAGGAAUACCAGUGGCGAAGGCGGCCUUCUGGACUGACACUGACACUGAGGUGCGAAAGCGUGGGUAGCAGACAGGAUUAGAUACCAUUGUAGUC